rfam:Trichomonas vaginalis G3, whole genome shotgun sequence.
ACUCAUGAGAGAGAAGCUGAGGCGAGGGCGUCUACCUAGAGGGUUUCUGUCGAUCAGGGCGAGAGUAGGAGUAUCCAACAGGAUUAGAGACCCUGGUAGUUCCUACCUUAAACGAUGCCGACAGGAGUUUGUCAUUUGUUAAUGGCAGAAUCUUUGGAGAAAUCAUAGUUCUUGGGCUCUGGGGGAACUACGACCGCAAGGCUGAAACUUGAAGGAAUUGACGGAAGGGCACACCAGGGGUGGAGCCUGUGGCUUAAUUUGAAUCAACACGGGGAAACUUACCAGGACCAGAUGUUUUUUAUGACUGACAGGCUUCGGGUCUUUCAGGAUAUUGUUUUUGGUGGUGCAUGGCCGUUGGUGGUGCGUGGGUUGACCUGUCUAGCGUUGAUUCAGCUAACGAGCGAGAUUAUCGCCAAUUAUUUACUUUGCCGAAGUCCUUCGGUUAAAGUUCUAAUUGGGACUCCCUGCGAUUUUAGCAGGUGGAAGAGGGUAGCAAUAACAGGUCCGUGAUGCCCUUUAGAUGCUCUGGGCUGCACGCGUGCUACAAUGUUAGGAUCAAUAGGACUGCGAGCCUGAGAGGGUGCGCUACUCUUAUAAUCCCUAACGUAGUUGGGAUUGACGUUUGUAAUCAGCGUCAUGAACCAGGAAUCCCUUGUAAAUGUGUGUCAACAACGCACGUUGAAUACGUCCCUGCCCUUUGUACACACCGCCCGUCGCUCCUACCGAUUGGAUGACUCGGUGAAAUCACCGGAUGCUUACGAGCAGAAAGUGAUUAAAUCACGUUAUCUAGAGGAAGGAGAAGUCGUAACAAGGUAACGGUAGGUGAACCUGCCGUUGGAUCAGUU